GGCAAACUGGAAAACUGUGGACUAGAAGGCCUUCCUUGAGAUUUCUUUACACGACUGUCCCCGUAAUCUCUACCCAAACUCUCAACCUCAAGCUUCAUUUGGGCCAAGGCUGCAGGCCCCGGCAAUUUCUUCCGGACAAGACCACGUAAUCUCUGACACUCUGCUUCCAAUUUUGCAAUUUUCUUCACUCCCUCCAGGUGUUGUUUAUUUGCAACUUCGGC
rnacentral:misc_RNA from 1 species